rnacentral:rRNA from 1 species
AUGGUGACUGCGCACGAGGAGAAGGAGAAAGCUAUUCAUGAUCAUUUCAACCGCAUCCUGGGAACCACCCAGCACCGACCCGCGUCGAUCAACUGGGAUGAGCUGCGAUUGCCUUCGGUGCAAGCAAACGGCCUGGACAACCCGUUCUCCAAGGAAGAAGUGUGGGCUGCAAUCAGGGAUUCACCUGCGGAGAAAUCACCAGGGCCUGAUGGAUUUUGCGGUGCUUUCUUCCGCAGCUGCUGGAGCGUUAUAAAGCCGGAUGUCAUGUAGGCGUUCCAGCAGUUCUACCACCUGGCGGGGCAAAAUUUUGGAGCUCUGAACUCUACGAUCGUCGCGCUCAUCCCCAAGAAAGAUGGAGCCGAGUCCAUUGCGGAUUACAGGCCGAUCAGUCUGAUUCAUUCAGUUGCGAAACUGAUCUCCAAGGUGCUUGCAAUCAGGCUGGCUUCGGUGGUGCAGUCAAUCAUUUUGCCAGCGCAGACGGCCUUCCUGAAGAACAGAUGCUUGCACGACAGCUUUGUAUACGUUCAAAAUUGCGUCAAGAGCCUGCACCGCAGGAGAACACCGGCACUCCUUCUUAAGCUAGAUAUC